AGGACCUGUUCUCACAUGAACUAAGCUACUCUACAUUCAAAUUAAAAGUACUGUCUGCUGUACUGGGUUCUUUACUUGUCCAACCCAUGGAAAUGAAGAAGCUGACAUAUGUUGCAGAAAUAUUCCAAGCGUUGUAAUUUUCCCAUCCUCAAAAUCUUAUAUUGCAGGAAACAGGCUUUUUUGUUGGAAUUUGCAAAUAAAACAACACCUGCCACAG